UACGAAGGGGGCUAGCGUUGCUCGGAAUCACUGGGCGUAAAGGGUGCGUAGGCGGGUCUUUAAGUCAGGGGUGAAAUCCUGGAGCUCAACUCCAGAACUGCCUUUGAUACUGGAGAGCUUGAGUCCGGGAGAGGUGAGUGGAACUGCGAGUGUAGAGGUGAAAUUCGUAGAUAUUCGCAAGAGCACCAGUGGCGAAGGCGGCUCACUGGCCCGGUACUGACGCUGAGGUGCGAAAGCGUGGGGAGCAAACAGG
rnacentral:rRNA from 1 species